GACACCGGAGAGGGAGCCUGAGAAACGGCUACCACAUCCAAGGAAGGCAGCAGGCGCGCAAAUUACCCAAUCCCGACACGGGGAGGUAGUGACAAUAAAUAACAAUACAGGGUUCUUUUGGAUCUUGUAAUUGGAAUGAGUACAAUUUAAAUCUCUUAACGAGGAACAAUUGGAGGGCAAGUCUGGUGCCAGCAGCCGCGGUAAUUCCAGCUCCAAUAGCGUAUAUUAAAGUUGUUGCAGUUAAAAAGCUCGUAGUUGAACUUCGGGAUCAAGGAAUCGGUCAUGCCUUGGUAUGUACUGGUUUUAUUGGUUCUCACCUUCUAAAGAACCAUAAUGUCAUUCAUUUGAUGUUAUGGGGAAUUAGGACUGUUACCUUGAAAAAAUUAGAGUGUUUAAAGCAAGCUUACGCUUGAAUACAUUAGCAUGGAAUAAUGAAAUAGGACAUCCGAUUCUAUUUUGUUGGUUUCUAGGAUCGAUGUAAUGAUUAAUAGGGAUAGUUGGGGGCAUUAGUAUUCAAUUGUCAGAGGUGAAAUUCUUGGAUUUAUUGAAGACUAACUACUGCGAAAGCAUUUGCCAAGGAUGUUUUCAUUAAUCAAGAACGAAAGUUAGGGGAUCGAAGACGAUCAGAUACCGUCGUAGUCUUAACCAUAAACUAUGCCGACUAGGGAUCGGAUGAUGUUAAUUUUAUAAUGACUCAUUCGGCACCUUACGGGAACAAGGU
rnacentral:rRNA from 1 species